CAGCAGUGCUGCUGGGGCAGAGGUAGCUGAGUUUCAGUCAUUGGAAGGUCAUCAGCUCACAUUCACAGAUGGAACCUUCUUCCAAACCUGCAACAAUGCUCUAAAUGGAAUGCUCAGCAUAGACAAAAGGCUGGAGAGAGUGUCAGUGCCAAACAUCCCCAGCAUCUCUCCUCGUGCCUUACUGGUGUCUCUGCAUAUCAGAGAGCUCUGACUGCAAAUCUGCCUUCUCCUUUCACCGCCCACCUUUUGAUGUUUUGGAGGUGGCUCUCUCAUCCAGUCAAUGUCCUGCAGUUGGCUGGUCGGACAAACAACAGAAAGUCCAUCAGCCCAGCGAGAGUCUGACAUUCCUGAAGCUGAGAGACAUGAAUGGAGGUGGACAGGAGAUUCUGUACAGUUAUGCACAGUCCUUUGUCACCUCCUGUCUGAACCACAGCAAUGCCAUACACCUGGGCAUGCAGCCACCAGGAAGGUCCCUUGAGGAAGGAAUGCAGCCUCACAGGACUUCAGCAACAAGGGCCACUGCGCAUGCUUCAAACCGUCCUCCAUGCUCUGUGCUCC